UACGAAGGGGGCUAGCGUUGUUCGGAAUUACUGGGCGUAAAGCGCACGUAGGCGGAUGUUUAAGUCGGGGGUGAAAUCCCAGGGCUCAACCCUGGAACUGCCUUCGAUACUGGGCGUCUUGAGUCCGAGAGAGGUGAGUGGAAUUCCGAGUGUAGAGGUGAAAUUCGUAGAUAUUCGGAAGAACACCAGUGGCGAAGGCGGCUCACUGGCUCGGAACUGACGCUGAGGUGCGAAAGCGUGGGGAGCAAACAGG
rnacentral:rRNA from 1 species